rnacentral:lncRNA from 1 species
GUUUAUUUGAUUGAAUGAACAAAUCUACUUCCUUCUGCAAUCUUCUUGGAAGUGGGAGAAAAGCCUAAACCCUCUCGAUGUUUGUUUUCUGGGAGAUCCAAAACUGUUCCCCAACCAUCGGUUAUACCAUUAUUUACUAGCCGUUGUGCAUCCUUGAAUGAAGAGAUGGAUACUCCUCUCUUGGCAUCUUUGUCAAUCAAAGAAAGGGCUUGGAAUUGAGUUCCAACAGCUUCUUUAGGUUCAAGAUAAG